GAAACAGACACAGAAAAGCCCAUUUGUAACUAUUGUUUUCAAAUAAAGGCAAGAUUUUUUUUUCUUCUGUGUGGUCAGUUUUACUGCAAGAUCUAGGAACCUAAACACACUGGAUUCUUGGCUUUGUUGAUGACAUGUAGUUUUGUCAAAGCACUUUUUCUUAUACCUUUUACCACCUAUUCCUGGUUCAUGUACUUAUGUAACACAUAAUCACUGAUUACAAAAAUAUUUUGUGACCUUUGGUUACAGUGUUCUAAGGACUAAUUACUAGAAAAUCCAUCAUGACAAAGUGAAUAUUCAAUCCAUUUAAGCAAAUUUACCAUAAUAUCAAGCCUCAUGUCUCAUAAAUUAAUAUUACUCUUAGCACUCUGAAAACUAGUAUCUUAUAUUCAAAAACCCUGAAUAUUAGCUUAUUUUUAUAAGACUCUUGAGAUAAAAAGAAAAUCUCGUGGAAUGUGAACACCAAACCCAUAAGGGAGGUCCAGUUAUUAUCCUGAUUUUACAGAUAAGGAAAGUGAUACGUAAGUUCAGUAAGUUGCUCCUGGUCACAUGGCAAACAAGUAGUAGAACCGGCAUUUGAACCAGCAGGUCUGUCAGAUUCCUGAGUGUAUGUGUCUAACAAUCAUGUGUCCAACCUGCUCCCCAACCCCAACUAAUCUGUAAGCUCCGUGGAGGCAAGAUGUGGUAUCCCUGGUGCCUUUGCUGAGCAAAUGAGUGACUAACAAGUGAGGACUAAAGUGAUGCUUAUUACUAAGCAUUUACAGCUGAGCUUGUAUUUCUAAGCCUCGUCUGAAUUUUGCUUUGUAAGUUUCCUUUCUUAUACGAUGUAAGGGAGUUAAGAUUUUGAUAAACAAAAAGAUGCCAUUGAAAGCUCAUGCACUAAUAGAUAGUUCAAGGAAUAGAUUCCUUCCUGUAAUCCCAGGUACUUAGGAGGCUGAGAUGUGAGGAUCACUUGAGGCCAGGGGUUUAAGACCAGCCUGGGCAACACAGCAAGACCCCAUCUCUAAAAAACUAAAAAAAAAAAUUAGCCAGGCAUGGUGGCACACGCUUAUAAUCCUGGCUACUUCAGAAGCUGA
rnacentral:lncRNA from 1 species